rnacentral:rRNA from 1 species
CGACUUAAUCAGGUAGGACUACCCGCUGAACUUAAGCAUAUCAAUAAGCGGAGGAAAAGAAACCAACAGGGAUUGCCCCAGUAACGGCGAGUGAAGCGGCAACAGCUCAAAUUUGAAAUCUGGUCCCCAGGGCCCGAGUUGUAAUUUGCAGAGGAUGCUUUUGGUGAGGUGCCUUCCGAGUUCCCUGGAACGGGACGCCAUAGAGGGUGAGAGCCCCGUCUGGUUGGAUACCGAGCCUCUGUAAAGCUCCUUCGACGAGUCGAGUAGUUUGGGAAUGCUGCUCUAAAUGGGAGGUAUAUGUCUUCUAAAGCUAAAUAUUGGCCAGAGACCGAUAGCGCACAAGUAGAGUGAUCGAAAGAUGAAAAGCACUUUGAAAAGAGGGUUAAAUAGUACGUGAAA